AAUGGGGGAAACCCUGACGCAGCAACGCCGCGUGGAGGACGAAGGUUUUCGGAUUGUAAACUCCUGUCCUCUGGGACGAAUAAUGACGGUACCAGAGGAGGAAGCCACGGCUAACUACGUGCCAGCAGCCGCGGUAAUACGUAGGUGGCAAGCGUUGUCCGGAAUUACUGGGCGUAAAGGGCGCGUAGGCGGUCUUUUAAGUCAGAUGUGAAAACCCGGGGCUCAACCUCGGACCUGCAUUUGAAACUGGGAGACUCGAGUGUCGGAGAGGAAAGCGGAAUUCCUAGUGUAGCGGUGAAAUGCGUAGAUAUUAGGAGGAACACCAGUGGCGAAGGCGGCUUUCUGGACGAUAACUGACGCUGAGGCGCGAAAGCGUGGGGAGCAAA
rnacentral:rRNA from 1 species